rnacentral:lncRNA from 10 species
CUGCUUCUCCUGUAAGGGAAUCAUUAUAGAAAAAAAUUAAGAGGCUUGAGAAAAUCAGAAGUUCAUAAAGGAAGAAAGGAAAGAAAUUAUAGGAAGCAGGAAGAGCUCUGGGGAGCUGUUUUCGGGAGCAAAUAUCCAGAAUGAACACCUUGACUCAUGGCUGCAUCUGCAAGGAAGAUGGGACAUCCAUUCUCACUUGUACACAGGCUAUGGGUUGUCCGGAGCCCUGAGCUGAAGACAGGCCUGCUGCUGAUCCCAGAGACAGAUGGCCAGAGUUAGGAACAGCAUGCACAAAGAAGAUCCUAAGCCUUCCUGGAGAAGUGCCAAUAUCAUCAUUUGGGGGUCUUAAAGCCAAGCUGGGGAAUAAGCGUUAUGGGGAAUGCUGAGAAGGAGAUGUUUAAUCAAGUGUGUAGGUUUAGGACUUCAGUCAAAGGGCUGCUUUUUUGCUGCUCUCAGGCAGUUUUCACUGCAUGCCUUCACCUCUGGUAUCUUCAAAGCACUCCUUGGCUUGUGCCAUUAAUACUUUACCUAAGAUUUUUAGAAAUUCUGUCUGGUCAUAUGCUACAUCCUACUUGUAUUGAAAGAACCCUUAGGAUUUCCCCUUU